CCUACGGGCGGCAGCAGUGGGGAAUAUUGCACAAUGGGGGAAACCCUGAUGCAGCGACGCCGCGUGAGUGAAGAAGUAUUUCGGUAUGUAAAGCUCUAUCAGCAGGGAAGAAAAUGACGGUACCUGAUUAAGAAGCCCCGGCUGACUACGUGCCAGCAGCCGCGGUAAUACGUAGGGGGCAAGCGGUAUCCGGAUUUACUGGGUGUAAAGGGAGCGGAGACGGCAGCACAAGUCUGGAGUGAAAUGUCGGGGCUUAACCCCGGAACUGCUUUGGAAACUGUGCAGCUAGAGUGCAGGAGAGGUAAGUGGAAUUCCUAGUGUAGCGGUGAAAUGCGUAGAUAUUAGGAGGAACCCCAGUGGCGAAGGCGGCUUACUGGACUGUAACUGACGUUGAGGCUCGAAAGCGUGGGUAGCAAACAAGAUCAGAUACCCCAGUAGUC
rnacentral:rRNA from 1 species